GAUGAACGCUGGCGGCGUGCUUAACACAUACAAGUCGAACGGAAAGGCCCAAGCUUGCUUGGGUACUCGAGUGGCGAACGGGUGAGUAACACGUGGGUGAUCUGCCCUGCACUUCGGGAUAAGCCUGGGAAACUGGGUCUAAUACCGGAUAGGACCACUUCUUGGAUGUUGUGGUGGAAAGUUUUUUCGGUGUGGGAUGAGCUCGCGGCCUAUCAGCUUGUUGGUGGGGUAAUGGCCUACCAAGGCGUCGACGGGUAGCCGGCCUGAGAGGGUGUACGGCCACAUUGGGACUGAGAUACGGCCCAGACUCCUACGGGAGGCAGCAGUGGGGAAUAUUGCACAAGGGGCGCAAGCCUGAUGCAGCGACGCCGCGUGGGGGAUGACGGCCUUCGGGUUGUAAACUCCUUUCGCUAGGGACGAAGCGUUUUGUGACGGUACCUGGAGAAGAAGCACCGGCUAACUACGUG
rnacentral:rRNA from 1 species